UACAAAAUUACUACUGAAAGGUGUUUUUAUUCGGUGAAUUCAAUGCAGCUUAUAUUUACAUCUGAAAAACUUCGGUGAAGUCACCAGACAGACAAACAGGCUAUCUGUGUUAUUUCCAGCAACUGCUGCAUUCGGUUGUCCUAGAGGGACACAUUUUUUUUCCAACAUUCUAAAAAAUCAAAAUUUUCAACGUCUGUUGUCUGUGAUUUUUUUCAUAAAAUGCUGUGUCUGGUUGUUUAAGGUUGUCACUGGUUUUUAUUUCCAGUAACUGCUGCAUUCGGUUGCCUAAGAGUAAGAGUGACAGAUUUUUUUCUGCGAUAAAAGAAUCAAUUUUUUCAACGUCUAUGAUUUUUUUUCAUCAAAUGCUGUGUCUGGUUAUCUAAGGUUAUCAUUGGUGUCAAAUAUUUAAAAAGAUCAAAAUUUUCAACGUCUGUUGUCUGUGAUUUUUUUUCAUGAAAUGCUGCGUCUGGUUGUCUAAUGUUGUCAUUGGUUUUGUUAUCUGCAUCUGAUAGUAAAAAAGAAUUGAAGUGUCAAAUAUCUUUAAAAAAAUCAAAAUUUUCAACGUCUGUUGUCUGUGAUUUUUUUUUCAUGAAAUGCUGUGUCUGGUUGUCUAAGGUUGUCACUGGUUUUAUUUUCUGCAUCUGAUAUAAAAAAAGAAUUGAAGUGUCAAAUAUUAAAAAUAAAUCAAAAUUUUCAACGUCUGUUGUCUGUGAUUUUUUGCAUAAAAUGCUGUGUCUAGUUGUCUAAGGUUGUCACUGAUUUUGUUUUCUGCAUCUGCAAAAAAAAAUCAACGGCUGUUGUCUGUGAUUUUUUUUUUCAUCAAAUGCUGUGUCUGGUUAUCUAAGAAUGUCACUGAUUUUAUUUUCUGCAUCUG